rnacentral:lncRNA from 10 species
AAGAAGCUCUCUGGACCACCUCCUGCUGUGGGACCCAAGGAGACAUCUGCUCCUGCAGGCUUGCCUAAAAAGGGACAAGAAGAACAGUAAGAAGCAAUUGAACACAGUGAUGAAGUACAAAAUGAAAUAGACUUAAUGUGAGGAGAUUUUGAAAGUCGAAUAGAAAUGUAACAAACUCCGCCAACCACUUUUUCAGAAGAGGUCAGAACUGAUCGCCAACAUCCCAAAUUUGGGGGUAACAACAUUUCUCAACCAUCCACCAGUGUUCGCACUGCUUGGGGAGAAGGACGAAGAUGCACUGCAUUAUUUGACCAGAGUUGAAGUGACAGAAUUUGAAGAUAUUAAAUCAGGUUACAGGAUAGAUUUUUAUUUUGAUGAAAAUCCUUACUUUGAAAAUAAAAUUAUUCCCAAAGAAUUUCAUCCUAAUGAGCGUGGUGAUCCAUCUUCAAAGUCCACCGAAAUCAAAUGGAAAUCUGGAAUGGAUUUGACGAAACAUUAAAGUCAAACGCAGAAUAAAGCCAGCAGGAAGAGGCAACAUGAGGAACCAGAGAGCUUCUUUAAGUUUUUU